rnacentral:lncRNA from 1 species
UCUCUCUCCCCGCCCCUUCCCCUUCAUUGAUCGCCCCUUGCCUCCACCGAAAUAAAAAUAAAUAAUUAAACUAUCCACGAGUAAGAGUCGCCUCCAAAGCAGAGGCUCUUACAUCUCUCACACCGCCACUUGGAGUUUUUCGAGGACUUCGGACUUAGGCCUUUUGGGAUUUGGAGUUCCGCAGGGUGGAAGCUAAAGGAGGUGCAUCUUAACUACACGGCCCCGGUUUCCUUCACACACAACCCAUUUGGAGCUGGGUCUGGAGAAACCUGUAACAGUCUAUGGCCCUACCACUUGGACGCAUCAUAUCUCAGAAGCUAAACAGAGUCCGGCCUGGCUAGCAUUUGGUUGGAUUAGAGAUUAGUCACCGUGAGGAAGCCAAAUCGGAUCCGGGAGUCUUUUUCUAAAGGCCAGUACUGGCCACAUUUUCUCCUGCCGCCUUCCUCAAAGCUGAAGACAUACAGAGCAAGUUAAGCCUUCUCUCUUCAACUAGCUGUAAGCCGCUUCCCACCACAACUGCUGAGCUCCUAGGCAGCAAUGUGAUCUGCACUGCUUCUGAAGUCUGCACUGAUUCUUGGCAGAAAAAUGACAUCUCUUCCUUCUAAACAAGUGUUAAAACAGCUAACAUUCUUACAUGUAUACAUUUAGCAGACAUGCAUUGUACAUUCACUGUAUCAUCUGUCUCCUUCCUGAUACUUGGUUGUAUUUCCUACAUAUAGUAGCAAAUCCACACUGAGGCCUAGACCUUGGCCACUGCUCAGUUUCUUUCGACGAAGGGCCCUUGGCUGACACAGGAGUGGGGAAGACAAUUCUCCCAACUACAGGUGGCUGUUGACAAUGCUCUGAGGACGGGAACUGAGGGAGCAUCGCUUUUCUUCCCUAUCUGAAAAAGGUUAUAAUUAAUGAUGAAACUAAUAAACUAUGAAAUUCCUUACAUUUGGCAGAAUUGCCAAAUUUGGUAGAGAUAUUAAUGAACAGAAGAGCCAUCAAAAGAAGGAGGAAAUGGAGAGCAAAGGGAACUGGUAAUGCAGUGGCCAGGAAGGCACCUUUCCUCUGUAGACAAGAGGCAGCUUCAAGGUGUGCUGCUGGCAUUUCCCAGCACGUCCUUUUGUGAAUAAGGCCAGAACCCCAGGAUAGGCUUUAGCGCACUAGCCCUGGGUCCCUACAGUUACGGAUUAAAUAUUUCUGCAAGGCUAACACUAUCUCCACUGUGUCCUACCAUGUUAACUAUAGAUGUGGCAUAGCUUUCUUAAUCAUUCAAGCUUAGGGUCAUGGAAUCUAUGGUUAAAAGAAGACUAACUCACCGGGUAGUCAUGACAAUCACCAAAACUUUUUGCUCCCAAACCAUAAGCCAGAAGUCACGAUAGGUGUUCUCCAAAGGACCUGGAAUGAAAGGACAGGAGGGAGAGCGGGCCUUUAGAAGCAUGUCUGUCUUCCUCUACUUGUCUUCCAAAUAGGAUCUCUGAGGUUUCCUGGAGACCUGAAGAAAAUUAAGAGGCAAGUUAAACCAAGGGGAAGUGUGAGGAUCUUAGCUACAUGCAGAGCUUCAGGACAGCCAGGACUAUACAAGAUCCCUUCUCUAAGGGGGCUGAACCAGUGGAAGAGUACUUGCAGAGCCUCAACGCUCACUGCUUUUGCUUUAAGCUGUUUGACUC